rnacentral:rRNA from 1 species
CAAUAGAUUUUGAUUCCUGGCUCAGGAUGAACGCUGGCCGCGUGCCUAAUACAUGCAAGUCGAACGCUUUGUGGUUCAACUGAUUUGAAGAGCUAGCUCAGAUAUGACGAUGGACAUUGCAAAGAGUGGCGAACGGGUGAGUAACAUGUGGGAAACCUACCUCUUAGCAGGGGAUAACAUUUGGAAACAGAUGCUAAUACCGUAUAACAAUGACAACCGCAUGGUUGUUAUUUGAAAGAUGGUUCUGCUAUCACUAAGAGAUGGUCCCGCGGUGCAUUAGCUAGUUGGUAAGGUAAUGGCUUACCAAGGCGAUGAUGCAUAGCCGAGUUGAGAGACUGAUCGGCCACAAUGGGACUGAGACACGGCCCAUACUCCUACGGGAGGCAGCAGUAGGGAAUCUUCCACAAUGGGCGAAAGCCUGAUGGAGCAACGCCGCGUGUGUGAUGAAGGGUUUCGGCUCGUAAAACACUGUUGUAAGAGAAGAAUGACAUUGAGAGUAACUGUUCAAUGUGUGACGGUAUCUUACCAGAAAGGAACGGCUAAAUACGUGCCAGCAGCCGCGGUAAUACGUAUGUUCCAAGCGUUAUCCGGAUUUAUUGGGCGUAAAGCGAGCGCAGACGGUUAUUUAAGUCUGAAGUGAAAGCCCUCAGCUCAACUGAGGAAUUGCUUUGGAAACUGGAUGACUUGAGUGCAGUAGAGGAAAGUGGAACUCCAUGUGUAGCGGUGAAAUGCGUAGAUAUAUGGAAGAACACCAGUGGCGAAGGCGGCUUUCUGGACUGUAACUGACGUUGAGGCUCGAAAGUGUGGGUAGCAAACAGGAUUAGAUACCCUGGUAGUCCACACCGUAAACGAUGAGUGCUAGGUGUUUGAGGGUUUCCGCCCUUAAGUGCCGCAGCUAACGCAUAAGCACUCCGCCU